rnacentral:snoRNA from 13 species
UGCCUUUGUGUUUCCCACUUUCUUUGCUAUAGAUGAGUGCGGUGUCAAAAAAGGCACAAAGUAACUUCAGCUGUUACAGGUGUCCUGGCAGUCUUUAUUUUUCAGGAUUUGUUAUACAGCUGAAAUACCA